rnacentral:misc_RNA from 1 species
UAAAAUGUUUUUUUUUUUUUUAGAACUUCAUUAACUCAAAUUAUAUCACAAGAAGUAAUAACCGGGAAAAAAAUUGACAGGAGAAUAUGAUCAUGAAUAAUUAAUGGCGGUCAUUAAAAAUUCGGUCUUUUCACUUGCAAGUGAAUGCAUUAUCACAGUCAUAGUCGAUACUAAAAUCCAAUUUAUGGUGAUUUUGAGCAUCUAAUUGAGCAUAUACAAAUAUAAAUCAAGAAUUUGUUUUUCAAUAUGCUUAAUUACAGUUUUCAAUACAGCACGAUAAACACCACCAAAAUCAAUUAGAAUUCAGAUUAAAACAAAAUCAAAAUGAUUAAGGGAAGAAAGAACAAGUUAAUCCUUCUAAAGAAAAAAAUGGAAAACAAAGCAAAGCUGUGAAAUUAAGGUUAUGAAUAAUUCCCAGUCAUAUAUAUAGCAAUAGGAUUAAACUACAUAAUAUAAUACACGCAACCAUUACUCUAAUAAUAGUCAAUCAAAAACAAACCAGACAGAUUUUAAGUCCACAACAAUUUGAAACAAGUAAAAUCCCCUAGCCCUCCUCAACCCCCACCCAAAAACACUUCACAUUAGUCACACUUGCAAGAUCAAUAUCUUCAUGCAUGUAAGGCUGGAGAUAGAUUAUGUGUUACCAUAUAUAGGUUGAUGAGUUCAAAAUCGCCUGGAAAGUGAAGUGUUACUUCUUUCAACCGCUGGAAAAUUCAAUGAAGCAGUAGAUUUCCUUGAUUGGUCACCUCUAUAAUUCGACAAAUCGUCUUUUUCUUCAUUGUUGCUUGUUCUAUGGCUACCUCUCUCUCCUUCCUGCUCUCUGUAUUUAUGCAAAUACCUCUUGAGUGGCUCAGCAUAGUCAUCAAACCCUAGACUAGCAAGAGCCCAACAAAUGUCGUCUCCGUUUACUGUCUUGCGCUUCUCUUUGUGACAUUUAUCAGAUGCUUCUCCAGUGACGAAGCUUAUGAACUCUGAUACACAUUCUUGCAUAGUUUCUUUAGCUUCCUUGGAGAUUUUUGCAUUCGGAGGCAGAAUCUGCUUCAUGAUCCUCCCCACAUUAGCUAUUGGAAGCAAUCUAUCUUGCUCCUUUAUGAUGCCAUCUUCACCUGAACCACUACAAGCUCCUGCAAGAUUGUACUUACGGCAUGUUCUUUCUGAAUUAUUGCCUAUGUUAUCCACCAUAUCUCAAUAAAGAGAGAGAACAGAUAUCCUG